ACCCAGUGUGUUUCGACACAUUAUCAUGUCAUGAAUACAUAGUGGCAUGAGGCGAACCGGGGGAACUGAAACAUCUAAGUACCCCGAGGAAAAGAAAUCAACCGAGAUUCCCCCAGUAGCGGCGAGCGAACGGGGAGGAGCCCAGAACCUGAAUCGGCUUGUGUGUUAGUGGAAGCGUCUGGAAAGUCGCGCAGUAAAGGGUGAUAGCCCCGUACACUAAAAUGCACAGGUCGUGAGUUCGAUGAGUAGGGCGGGACACGUGACAUCCUGUCUGAAUAUGGGGGGACCAUCCUCCAAGGCUAAAUACUCCUGACUGACCGAUAGUGAACCAGUACCGUGAGGGAAAGGCGAAAAGAACCCCGGCGAGGG
rnacentral:ncRNA from 1 species